rnacentral:lncRNA from 1 species
UAUUAAAAAACAAACUUUUAAGAGCCCGAAGUAUGUGUUACAGUAGGUCGCUCGGCAGACACCAGUGACCCACCUUGUAAUUGUAAAUUAAUUGGGCAUUCAACUACAACAAAUCUUAGCUAAUACAGACCAGACAUGCAGCCAUGCACACUCCGGCACUGAGGCCACAGCUGUGAGCAAUGCCAGCUGGUUCACUGCAGAGCUCUGGCACGAGGGCACCUCAGACCACCCCAGCAUGCCUGCUGGCCCCUGGCAUUGCUGGCUGCAGCAGGACCAAGGCCUUUUCUGUCCCAUGAACUUCCCAUCUCUGUGUCCUUCAUCUCUGAGAAAUGUUGUAUACCACAGAGCAGGCAGAAACAGCACAGGCACUCCUUUGGCAUUGCUUCAUAUUAGCAGAGACCUGCGUCUUAGCAUGGUCCUUGUAAAGGCAUGUUCAGCUACCUCUGCUCUUGCUGAGCCAGCAGAGGAAGCAGAGCCUGAAGCAACUGUAAGUGAAAGUGCUGCUACUGUUGACACAAUCAGGGUGCAGCAUCAUGAACUGGAGAAGAAGCAGGCUUCCAGGGUUCACGCUAUGCCCCCAAGCAGAUGAAUUGCCAAAUCAGAUCAGAUCAGGCGAGGUGUUUUCUGCAGGCUAAGACAGUGAUCCUCAGCUCCGAACCAAAAGUUAUCUGCGGAUCUUUGCAGCUGAAGUAGUGGCAAGCUUGGGAACAUGUCUGCAGUCUACUAAAGGGCUCGCAGUGUUUGCACCAUACAGGAGUGGUGUUGUGGCAGGAGAGACACUUCAGAUGUACAGCUGGAAUUGAACACAGUGCACUGCAGAUAACAGGUUAGACAUCUGCUUGGUACGUGCUUUAGUCAAUCGCACAGCUGCCUGAUCUGUGCCUGCACAGCAAGUUGAACCGUCACCACGCCAAACGGGAAGUGAGAGCCCCAUCUGCCCCAACACGUCAGCACUCCAUUUCCACGUGCCACGUACUUUCAGACCUCAGCCCUAUCCCAGAGUAGCGCUGGCCAGGAUAUGUCCGUGGAGUAAGAUACUUAAGAAAGGACCAGAAAACGCACCUCAGUUCUAGUCAAACCAUACCGAUAAUACACUUUGUGCUCAGAUGCAGUGUUUGGCUAUGACCUGUCAGAAACAGAGCGCAGGGCAGAGAAAGCUUCAGAAAACGAUCACCACCUGUCACCUCCUGACGUGUCUUCCUUGAGCAAGUUUUUGUGACUGGUGGAACACGGGUAUGCGUCCACGAAGGGAUCUGAAGCAUCCUCGAGCACAGGCUGCGUUUAAACAGGUCGUGCAGCGCGGCUCGUUCAGGUUUGGCGGGUGAAGCAUUAACACCCAGCAGCUGAGGAAAGGCCGGGAUGGGAGCUGCCGCGGGAGCGACGCCCGUCACCCCGCCUGCCUUCCCCCCGCGGCGGGCCCCGCU